AUAGGCUCUAGAUCUAGUGUGAUCUUUACCAAUUGUAGUCUUGCAGAACAUUAAAAGCUUCAGAGGAAAUUAAAGGAACAAGGCCACCUCUUUACCCUUAAUGUAUUAAGUAUUACCCUCCAUCAUAUCCCAGAUCUACCCCGGCGUGGUGGGGUACCCUAUCCCAGACCUGUCUCUCCUCAUUUCUCACGGAUGGAACUGACUUGAGGUUUCACCUCUUCGAGAAUGUGUGGCAUUGAUCUCGAAGACUUCAUCCUGCUUCCAGACUCUGGAUACCCUCUCAGCUUUGAGUACUCAACAAUAUUGAAACUGUCCUGAACUUUUGCUGAACUUGAAAGUCAAGGUAUUACAUAGGUCUAUGACUAGGUCCAUGUAUAUAGUUUCCUAAAAGAUGAUCUGUAUCACACCAAAUUCUAUACCCUAUACUCUAGACAAUUUUUCACAUCUGUACAUGUAUAGUUACAUGCGCUAUUUAAUAUUUGCGUACAAACAUUGAAGCCAGGUUGAACCUUUUCUUUGACCACUUGAUGACGUAUUGUUGACCCUUUAUACUGUAUAUAUAGAGGAGAGAGUAUAAUUACUUCAAGGGUAUAAACGUUUGUGGAAAGACAGUUA